rnacentral:rRNA from 1 species
GUGGGGAAUAUUGGACAAUGGGGGGAACCCUGAUCCAGCCAUGCCGCGUGUGUGAAGAAGGCCUUUUGGUUGUAAAGCACUUUAAGCGAGGAGGAGGCUACCGAGAUUAAUACUCUUGGAUAGUGGACGUUACUCGCAGAAUAAGCACCGGCUAACUCUGUGCCAGCAGCCGCGGUGAUACAGAGGGUGCAAGCGUUAAUCGGAUUUACUGGGCGUAAAGCGCGCGUAGGUGGCCAAUUAAGUCAAAUGUGAAAUCCCCGAGCUUAACUUGGGAAUUGCAUUCGAUACUGGUUGGCUAGAGUAUGGGAGAGGAUGGUAGAAUUCCAGGUGUAGCGGUGAAAUGCGUAGAGAUCUGGAAGAAUACCGAUGGCGAAGGCAGCCAUCUGGCCUAAUACUGACACUGAGGUGCGAAAGCGUGGGGAGCAAACAGGAUUAGAUACCCGGGUAGUCC